rnacentral:rRNA from 1 species
CAAUAGCGUAUAUUUAAGUUGUUGCAGUUAAAAAGCUCGUAGUUGGAUUUCGGAUGGGACUUGCCGGUCCGUCGUUUCGAUGUGCACUGGCCAGUCCUAUCUUGUUGUCGGGGACUAGCUCCUGGGCUUCACUGUCCGGGACUAGGAGCUGACGAGGUUACUUUGAGUAAAUUAGAGUGUUCAAAGCAAGCCUACGCUCUGAAUACAUUAGCAUGGAAUAACACGAUAGGACUCUGGCUUAUCUUGUUGGUCUGUGAGACCAGAGUAAUGAUUAAGAGGGACAGUCGGGGGCAUUCGUAUUUCAUUGUCAGAGGUGAAAUUCUUGGAUUUAUGAAAGACGAACCUCUGCGAAAGCAUUUGUCAAGGAUGUUUUCAUUA